rnacentral:rRNA from 1 species
UACGUAGGUGGCAAGCGUUGUCCGGAUUUACUGGGCGUAAAGGGCGUGCAGGCGGUCUGUUAAGUGCAGGGUGAAAGCUCCCGGCUCAACUGGGAGAGGUCCUUGCAUACUGGCGGACUUGAGGGGGGUAGAGGAAAGUGGAAUUCCCGGUGUAGUGGUGAUAUGCGUAGAUAUCGGGAGGAACACCUGUGGCGAAGGCGGGUUGCUGGGCUGACACUGACGCUGAUGCGCGAAAGCCAGGGGAGCGAACGGG